GGUUUAAUUUGCAUUUCUCUCAUGAGUAAUGAUGCCGAAAAUCUUCUCAGUUGUAUGUUGGCCAUUUUGAUGUUCUCUUUUGUGAAGUAUCUGCUCAGGAUUCUUGCCCAAUUUAAAGAUUGUGUUGUCUGUUUUUUCCUUAUUCAUUUACAGAAUUUUUGGAGAAGAGUAUUUUCUAGAUACAAAUGCUUUGCCAGGUGUCUGUGUGUGUGCGUGUGCGUGUGUGCACGUAUGUGUGUGCGUGUAUGUGUGUGUGCGUGUGUAUGCGUGUGUGUGCAUUUGUGUGUGUGUAUGCACAAGUGUCAGCCUCAUGUUUUCUUUUUUCAUUCUCUUAAUAGUGUCGUCCAUUGAAUGGAAUAUCUUAAUUUAAUUAAACCCAAUUUAUCAAUAUUUUCUUGUGCCCUGUGGAAGAAACUGUGGCCUACCCCCAAGGUCUUGAAGGGAACCUUCCCGACCCAGAGAUUGAACCCGUGUGUCCUGUGAUGCAUUGGAAGGACUGAUGCUGAUGCUGAAGUGCCAAUACUUUGGCCACCUGAUGCGAAGAGCUGACUCAUUAGAAAAGACCCUGAUCCUGAGAAAGAUUGAAGGCAGGAGAAGAGGGUGACAGAGGAUGAGAUGGUUGGAUGGCAUCACCGAUGCAAUGGACAUGAACUUGGGCAAACUCCUGGAGAUGGUGCAAGUGAUGCCUGAAACUGCAGCCGCCAUCUUGGGGUCAUGAUGCAAUAAACACAAGGAUAAAAAGUGAAUAACCAAAGAUGAAGAAACCGG
ensembl:lncRNA